rnacentral:rRNA from 1 species
AGAGUUUGAUCCUGGCUCAGAGUGAACGCUGGCGGUAGGCCUAACACAUGCAAGUCGAACGGCAGCACAGGAGAGCUUGCUCUCUGGGUGGCGAGUGGCGGACGGGUGAGGAAUACAUCGGAAUCUACUCUGUCGUGGGGGAUAACGUAGGGAAACUUACGCUAAUACCGCAUACGACCUACGGGUGAAAGCAGGGGAUCUUCGGACCUUGCGCGAUUGAAUGAGCCGAUGUCGGAUUAGCUAGUUGGCGGGGUAAAGGCCCACCAAGGCGACGAUCCGUAGCUGGUCUGAGAGGAUGAUCAGCCACACUGGAACUGAGACACGGUCCAGACUCCUACGGGAGGCAGCAGUGGGGAAUAUUGGACAAUGGGCGCAAGCCUGAUCCAGCCAUACCGCGUGGGUGAAGAAGGCCUUCGGGUUGUAAAGCCCUUUUGUUGGGAAAGAAGUCCAGCCGGCUAAUACCUGGUUGGGAUGACGGUACCCAAAGAAUAAGCACCGGCUAACUUCGUGCCAGCAGCCGCGGUAAU